AAUUGUGUAUUCUAUAAGGAUUUUGGAUUGCAAAUCUAAAGGAGGGCUAGGCCCCAUAAUUU
rnacentral:tRNA from 1 species